AGUUAGUGGCGGACGGGUGAGUAACACGUGGGCAACUGCCUGUAAUUGGGGAUAACUCCGGGAAACCGGGGCUAAUACCGAAUGAUAAAGUGUGGCGCAUGCCACGCUUUUGAAAGAUGGUUUCGGCUAUCGCUUACAGAUGGGCCCUCGGUGCAUUAGCUAGUUGGUAGGGUAAUGGCCUACCAAGGCAACGAUGCAUAGCCGACCUGAGAGGGUGAUCGGCCACACUGGGACUGAUACACGGCCCAGACUCCUACGGGAGGCAGCAGUAGGGAAUCUUCCGCAAUGGACGAAAGUCUGACGGAGCAACGCCGCGUGUAUGAAGAAGGUUUUCGGAUCGUACUUACUGUUGUUAGAGAAGAACAAGGAUAAGARUAACUGCUUGUCCCUUGACGGUAUCUAACCAGAAAGCCACGGGUAACUACGUGCCAGCAGCCUGGGUAAGACGUAGGUGGCAAGCGUUGUCCGGAUUUAUUGGGCGUAAAGCGCGCGCAGGCGGUCUUUUAAGUCUGAUGUGAAAGCCCCCGGCUUAACCGGGGAGGGUCAUUGGAAACUGGAAGACUGGAGUGCAAAGAGGAGAGUGGAAUUCCACGUGUAGCGGUGAAAUGCGUAGAUAUGUGGAGGAACACCAGUGGCGAAGGCGACUCUCUGGUCUGUAACUGACGCUGAGGCGCGAAAGCGUGGGGAGCAAACAGGAUUAGAUACCCUGGUAGUCCACGCCGUAAACGAUGAGUGCUAAGUGUUAGGGGGUUUCCGCCCCUUAGUGCUGCAGCUAACGGCAUUUAGCACUUCCCCCCCUGGGGGAGUACGACCGCAAGGUUUGAAACCUCAAAGGAAAUUG
rnacentral:rRNA from 1 species